rnacentral:rRNA from 1 species
GAUGAACGCUAGCGGCAGGCCUAAUACAUGCAAGUCGAGGGAGAAUGUCGGAUUCGUCUGACAUGAAACCGGCGCACGGGUGCGUAACACGUAUGCAACCUACCUUUAACUGGGGUAUAGCUCAGAGAAAUCUGAAUUAAUCCCCCAUAAGACUACGACAUGGCAUCAUGAUGUAGUUAAAGCUCCGGCGGUUAAGGAUGGGCAUGCGGUACAUUAGCUAGUUGGUGAGGUAAUGGCUCACCAAGGCUACGAUGUAUAGGGGGUCUGAGAGGGUGAUCCCCCACACUGGAACUGAGACACGGACCAGACUCCUACGGGAGGCAGCAGUAGGGAAUAUUGGUCAAUGGACGCAAGUCUGAACCAGCCAUGCCGCGUGAAGGAUGAAGGCCCUAUGGGUCGUAAACUUCUUUUAUUAGGGAAGAAAAAACGGGAUGCGUCCUGUACUGACGGUACUUAAUGAAUAAGGAUCGGCUAACUUCGUGCCAGCCGCCGCGGUAA